rnacentral:rRNA from 1 species
ACGGAGGAUCCAAGCGUUAUCCGGAAUCAUUGGGUUUAAAGGGUCCGUAGGCGGGUCUGUAAGUCAGUGGUGAAAGUUUACGGCUCAACCGUGAAAUUGCCAUUGAUACUGCAGGUCUUGAAUUAUUGUGAAGUGGUUAGAAUAUGUAGUGUAGCGGUGAAAUGCAUAGAUAUUACAUAGAAUACCGAUUGCGAAGGCAGAUCACUAACAAUAUAUUGACGCUAAGGGACGAAAGCGUGGGUAGCGAACAGG